rnacentral:sRNA from 1 species
UGAUUAGGAACACAGACUAGGAACGCCACGUCCUGUGGCAACGUCUGUGUGACCCACAUCGUGUGGG